GUGAGGAAUAUUGGUCAAUGGGCGAGAGCCUGAACCAGCCAAGUCGCGUGAAGGAAGAAGGAUCUAUGGUUCGUAAACUUCUUUUGCAGGGGAAUAAAGUGCAGGACGUGUCCUGUUUUGUAUGUACCCUGAGAAUAAGGAUCGGCUAACUCCGUGCCAGCAGCCGCGGUAAUACGGAGGAUCCGAGCGUUAUCCGGAUUUAUUGGGUUUAAAGGGUGCGUAGGUGGUUUGAUAAGUCAGCGGUGAAAGUUUGCAGCUUAACUGUAAAAAUGCCGUUGAAACUGUCGGACUUGAGUGUAAAUGAGGUAGGCGGAAUGCGUGUGUAGCGGUGAAAUGCAUAGAUAUCACGCAGAACUCCGAUUGCGAAGGCAGCUUACUAAGCUACAACUGACACUGAAGCACGAAAGCGUGGGGAUCAAACAGGAUUAGAAACCCGAGUAGUCC
rnacentral:rRNA from 1 species